GGUUCGAUUAUGGCUCAGAUUGAACGCUGGCGGGAUGUCGCUACACAUGCAAGUCGAACGGCAGCACGGACUUCGGUCUGGUGGCGAGUGGCGAACGGGUGAGUAAUGUCGGAACGCGUACUAGUAGCGGGGAUAACUACGCGAAAGCGUAGCUAAUACCGCAUACGCCCUUCGAAGAGCGGGGGACCUUCGGGCCUCGCGCUAUUAGAGCGGCCGAUAUCGGAUUAGCUAGUUGGUGCAGGGUAACGGCUCACCAAGGCGACGAUCCGUAGCUGGUUUGAGAGGACGACCAGCCACACUGGGACUGGAGACACGGCCCCAGACUCCUACAGGAAGCCAGCAGUGGGGAAUUUUGGACAAUGGGGAAACCUGUCAGCCAUCCGCGUGUGCGAUGAAGGCCUUCGGGUUGUGAAAGCACUUUUGGCGAAAAACGGCGCGGAUAAUACCCCGUCAGCUGACAGUACCUGCAGAAUAAGCACCGGCUAACUACGUGCCAGCAGCCAUGAUAAUGUCGCAAUAAAGUGCAAAGCGUUAAUCAGAACUACUGGGCAUCUACAAAAGCGUGCGCAGGGCGGUUCCGGAAGAAAGAUGUGAAAUCCCCAGAGCUUAGCUUUGGAACUGCAUUUUAACUACCAAGGCUGGGAAUUGUGUCAGAGGGAGGUGGAAUUACGCGUGUGAUGAAGUAAACAGGCUAUGCGGAGAACACCGAUAGCGAAGGCAGCCUCCUGGGAUAACACUGACGCUCCCCUUGCGCAGCAAUGGGGAGCAAACAGGAUUAGAUACCCUGGUAGUCCACGCCUAAAGCAAUCAUCAACUAACUUCUUUAGGGCCUUGAACUUGGUAGCGCAGCUAACGCGUGAAGUUGACCGCCUGGGGAGAUACGGUCGCAAGAUUAAAACUCAAGGAAUUGACGAGGACCCGCUGUGGUGGAUGAUGUGGAUUAAUUCGAUGCGCGAAAAAUAACACCCUUAUGGCGUAUGUAUCUGGAAUCGAAGAGAUUUGGGAGUGCUCGCAAAACAGGAACACAGGUGCAUGGCUGUCGUCGACUCGUGUCGUGAGAUGUUGGGUUAAGUCCGCAACGAGCGCAACCUGCUGUCAUUAGUUGCUACGAAAGGGCACUCUAGUAUGCCGAGACUACUGAUGGCUCAAGGCCGGAGGAAGGUGGGGAUGACGUCAGUCCUCCAUAGCCCCUCCUCGGUGAGGCUUCACACGUCAUACAAUGGUCGGGACAGAGAAUCGCCAGCCCGCGAAGAGGCCAAUCCAGAAACCCGAUCGUAGUCCAGAUCGCGGUCUGCAGCUCGACUGCGUGAAGUCGGAAUCGCUGGUAAUCGCGGAUCAGCAUGUCGCGGUGAAUACACGUUCCCAGGUCUUAUACACACUGCCAAUCACACCAUGAGAGUGGGUUUACCAGUAGUUAGCCUAACCGUAAGGAGGGCGAUUACCACGGUAGGAUUCAUGACUGGGGUAAGUCGUAACAAGAUAG
rnacentral:rRNA from 1 species